rnacentral:rRNA from 1 species
GACGAACCGUGCGAACGUUAUUCGGAAUCAUUGGGCUUAAAGCGCGUGUAGGCGGAUUCGUGCGUCUGUCGCUGAAAUCCCCCGGCUCAACCGGGGAACGGGCGCGGAUACGACGAGUCUGGAGGGGCAUAGGGGGACCUGGAACUUCCGGUGGAGCGGUGAAAUGCGUUGAGAUCGGAAGGAACGCCCGUGGCGAAAGCGAGGUCCUGGAUGCCUACUGACGCUGAUACGCGAAAGCGUGGGGAGCAAACAGG